UCGCAAAAACAGCAGUCAAUUCGUCAGCUGUUAGAAUUUUAUUAUGGACACGCUGCAUGUGAUUGGAAAAACUAAAGCUAUCAAAAUGUCAUAGCCAGUCAAUAGCCACUCCUUCGAACGCAAAGUACGCAAUU